rnacentral:tRNA from 1 species
GGGGAUUUAGCUCAGUGGCAUGAGCGCCUGCCUUGCAAGUGCGUGGUUGUGACUUCAAUCCCCA